AGCAGCCGCGGUAAUUCCAGCUCCAAUAGCGUAUAUUAAAGUUGUUGCAGUUAAAAAGCUCGUAGUUGAAUUUCGGGAUCAAGUCGUCGGUCGUGCUCAGGUACGUACUGGCGUCAUUGAUUUCUCCCUUCUGACGAACCAUGAUGUCAUUAAUUUGGUGUUAUGGGAAAUCAGGACUGUUACUUUGAAAAAAUUAGAGUGUUUAAAGCAGGCUCACGCUUGAAUACAUUAGCAUGGAAUAAUGAAAUAGGACGUUCGAUCCUAUUUUGUUGGUUUUAGGAUCAACGUAAUGAUUAAUAGGGAUAGUUGGGGGCAUUAGUAUUCAAUUGUCAGAGGUGAAAUUCUUGGAUUUAUUGAAGACUAACUACUGCGAAAGCAUUUGCCAAGGAUGUUUUCAUUAAUCAAGAACGAAAGUUAGGGGAUCGAAGACGAUCAGAUACCGUCGUAGUCUUAACCAUAAACU
rnacentral:rRNA from 1 species